rnacentral:misc_RNA from 1 species
CGGCUCAUCUGUGUGGCCACUGUG